rnacentral:rRNA from 1 species
GUGCCAGCAGCCGCGGUAAUACGGAGGGUGCGAGCGUUGUCCGGAAUCACUGGGCGUAAAGGGCGCGUAGGCGGCGCGGAUAGUCGGCGGUGAAAGCCCGGAGCUCAACUCCGGGUCGGCCGUCGAUACUUCCGGGCUUGAGCACUGUAGAGGCAGAUGGAAUUCCGGGUGUAGCGGUGGAAUGCGUAGAGAUCCGGAAGAACACCGGUGGCGAAGGCGGUCUGCUGGGCAGUUGCUGACGCUGAUGCGCGACAGCGUGGGGAGCAAACAGGAUUAGAUACCCUGGUAGUCC